rnacentral:rRNA from 1 species
AUUUUGGACAAUGGGGGCAACCCUGAUCCAGCUAUGCCGCGUGUGUGACAAAGGUCUUCGGAUUGUAAAGCACUUUAUGUUGGGAGGAAGGGCUUUCGGUUAAUACCCUGAAGUUUUGACGUUACCAACAGAAUAAUCACCGGCUACCCCUGUGCCAGCAGCCGCGGUAAUACAGAGGGUGCAAGAGUUAAUCGGAAUUACUGGGCGUAAAGCGCGGGUAGGUGGUUCAGUAAGAUGGGUGUGAAAUCCCCGGGCUUAACCUGGGAACUGCUUUCAUAACUGCUGAGCUAGAGUACGGUAGAGGGUAGUGGAAUUUCCUGUGUAGCGGUGAAAUGCGUAGAUAUAGGAAGGAACACCAGUGGCGAAGGCGACUACCUGGACUGAUACUGACACUGAGGUGAGAAAGCGUGGGGAGCAAACA